CUUUAGUGAGGUGUUUCUCAAUUCUGCUUCUCUGAGGGCUUUGAGGGAUUAGAGACUCCACCUCCUCUCCUACCGUGGAUGUUCCCUGAUCUUUUUUGUUUGGAGUUACUUACCUAGCAUUAUUUGGAGAGGUCUUGGAACAACACAAACAGAAUGCUGAGCAGAGAGUCGCCCAAAAGGGCUUUUUAAUGGGAAAUGUCCCACCCCACAAAAGGCAGAGAAAAGUACAGGAGGAGACAAGACUGUGAAAGGACAUGCACUUUGGAGUUGGGCAGAAGUGAGUGUGAGCUGUGUUGCUUCUUCCUGGUAAGGAAGCUUUGUGGCCAGCCCUGAGUCUGUUAGAUGACACUGCUAAUGAAGACCAGAUGAGAUGACAUUCCAUGAUACAGAAAGGUCUCCAGGGUCCUGGCUGGCCUAAUCCUGACUGCCCCCGCCAUGCUUUCCUUCACCAAAUUCCACCAAUAAUGCUAUUUCAUGGGUUCUCUAAGCCAGUAGUUCUCAGCCUACGGGUUGUGACCGCUUUCACG
ensembl:lncRNA